AGAGUUUGAUCCUGGCUCAGGAUGAACGCUAGCGGCAGGCCUAAUACAUGCAAGUCGAAGGGGCAGCAAUGUCACUGGCGCACGGGUGCGGAACACGUUUGAAAUCUGCCUUGAACAGGGGGAUAGCCCGCCGAAAGGCGGAUUAAUACCGCAUAUGCCGAUGGGUUGGCAUCAGCCAGUCGGGAAAGGCGCAAGCCGGUUCGAGAUGAUCAUGCGUCUGAUUAGCUAGUUGGCGGGGUAGAAGCCCACCAAGGCGACGAUCAGUAGGGGACCUGAGAGGGCGAUCCCCCACACGGACACUGAGAUACGGGUCCGACUCCUACGGGAGGCAGCAGUAGGGAAUAUUGGGCAAUGGGCGAGAGCCUGACCCAGCCAUGCCGCGUGCAGGAAGAAGGCCCUCUGGGUUGUAAACUGCUUUUGACGGGGAAGAAACGACCCUUGCGAGGGGCAUUGACGGUACCCGCAGAAUAAGCACCGGCUAACUCCGUGCCAGCAGCCGCGGUAAUACGGAGGGUGCAAGCGUUGUCCGGAUUUAUUGGGUUUAAAGGGUGCGUAGGCGGUCUGGUAAGUCGGCGAUGAAAGCCCGGGGCUCAACCCCGGAACUGUCGUCGAUACUGUCGGACUUGAAUGAGGUGGAGGCUGGCGGAAUGGGCGGUGUAGCGGUGAAAUGCAUAGAUACCGUCCAGAACCCCGAUUGCGAAGGCAGCUGGCUGUACCUUUAUUGACGCUGAGGCACGAAAGCGUGGGGAGCGAACAGGAUUAGAUACCCUGGUAGUCC
rnacentral:rRNA from 1 species